GCGAACAUCUACAUGUAUGGUAAGUGUACACAACUGUACUUUUUAUCUUGAUGGUAUCAAAUCCUUCAGAAAAUCUAGCCAGUUUCCUUCUCAAAAUGCAGGCUGGCUGUCCUGUAUCUAAAGUAACUUUAUCCAAGUGUUUGUCAGAUUGUAUUCUGUUUGAGUACUCUGAGGCAAGUCUCUCACGAAGGCAUAGAAGCCAUUCUUCUAGAGCAUUAGUUAGUUUUACUGCUUUUCUUUCAAGCGUGCCUAUGGAUGAUAUCUAUGCUGCUUCUACUUGUUUGGGUCAUCAUACCUUUGUGUCACAUAAGGUGGACAUUCAGUCCAAGUCCAGGGCUUUUGGUUUUACUGUUUUGCAGAAUAUCUUUCCUUAGUACCACCUUAGGAAUUGUCAUAGCUGGAAAGACUGUCCCACAGAUUGAAUCGGACAGAGCAGACAUUGUUUCUGAAAGAUUUGUACUCAUCAUAGUGAUAAAGCCUUGUCUGUUUCCAUCUGGUUCAACCCUCAUGUUCCUGACCUUCAUGUUGAUUUGGAGAGUCUUCCCUUGGUGAUGGUCAGACAACAGGGGCCCUUCCUUUUGCCUGCCUAGAGUCUCACUUUUUCCUGAUGGUUUCCUUGUAUUUAGGCAGGAAAUGGGAAUUAAAUGGAUAUGUUGGGUCAUUCUACCAAUACUCCGGGGGCAAAUUUGAUCUAGGGAAUUGAUGGAGGAGCAGGGAGUUGUGGGUAAGGGAGGAGGAGGAGUCAGGUUGAGGAAAAAGGCUUUAGAAUCGUCUGGUGUCGGAUCUGAAGUCCCACAGGUUGUCCAGAUGUUGACUGACAACACAGAUUUAUUAUGGUGAGUACAUAACUUUCGUUUUUCUUUGUUUUGCUGUAGGUAUAUAGGAGUUGACAGUUAUUUGGCAAAUCCUUUCUGAGUUAAUUAUAACUGCGUUAUAAUUUGUCAUCAGUUGGUGACCCCAUUUAGAAAGUAUUACUGUCAGCCUUCCAGUGCUUGCUUUAAAAAAGUUUAUCGCAGACUUUGCAUAGUGGCCAUUUGCCUGUCAUUUCCCACCAUCACCAGACAUUAAUGGUUAGACCAGUAUUGCAGGAGUCAGGUCUGUGUUAGCACCCCAGAGUUUUCAAGAUUCUGAAUUUUGAGACCCUUUCCUUUUGAUAUUCUUCUGAAUUCUACAUCUGGGCAGUUUUACGGUUUGGGGUAAGGCCACAGAAGUAAUUAAUAUGUACUCAUCUUUGUUGUUUUGUUUCUUGAACACUUGGUUACCUGUCUUUAUUGCGUUGUGUUGUGCCUCUUCAUUUUGUAACUUAUUUUGGAUUUUCCCAUAACGUAAGUAUGUAUUGGUUACUUUUUUGUCUGCUUUCCAUAAUGUGCUCACUGGAAUGAAGGUUGAAUUGAGUAGUGCAGGUCUGUUUGCUUUCUUAGCUCAGUGCCUGACUUGAACCACCCACAGGCACAACGGUAGAAGAAAUUUUAGAAUUGUGUUAAGCUGUGGGGCAUCAGAAAAUUAAAUUCCCAACAAAUGUCUGCAGAAUGCCUCUUUAUAGAAUGGUUACAUCAAGUACUUACCUGUUAUGUUGGGAGACCUAUGGCAGAGUUCUCUUAAUGUAGUGCUAACAGGCUGCUGCUUUCAGUCCAGGGAUCGAUUCUCUCAGCUUUACUUGCCUAUGUAACUUUGAGUCACUUAAGAUGACAGUGCUCCUGAAGGUCCGUGUGGAUCAAUGCUGUACUCUGACAAACCUGUGAAUAAAUAGUGUGUGCUUGUGGGCUUAGUAUUAUAUUCCACACAUUUAGGAUCAUUUUCCUGCAUUCAUUCAAAGUAGCAUUUUAGGUGACUAACAUGAAGCAUUCUAACUACUAUUUGGUCAGUAUUCUGUUUUAAGUUUGUAAGCAGCACAAGAAAGCUUGUACUAGCUAAUUUUUUUUUUUAUGUCUCUCCGUGGUAGGAUUUGGAUGUUGUGGGUGAUGGAAUGCAGUGCCCACCAUCACCACUUCUCUUUGAGCCAGGAUUAACAGUAGAUUCAAUCAGAGAGAUGGCUGAGACCCCAUUAGAUAUAUUGGCCAGUGAAGGACAGCUUUCAUACGCUAUUGAGAAGCCAUCAACUGAUUCAGAUAUGGCUGUGACUACGUACACAAAUGAACUUGCAGAACCUGCUGAUGAGCAGGAAUGCCAGGCACCUGUUGUCAGCACUUAGACCUCACCUGAUGCCUUCCAGAGUCUUCACAAGAUUUUCAUAUCAGUCAUAGGAAAUGGAGUACAAGUUUCGUAAAGUAUCUCCUUUGAAGCAACAGCAGGCUUGAUGCAUGACUGCACGUACUACAGGAAGUUGUAUUGCUCCUGAUGUGAACCUGUAGCAAGAGCGAUUAAGAAGUUUCCUAGAGUUGCAAGACUGUACUAAAAUAAUACUUUCUAUGAAAUGUUUUAAGUGGAAUUAAAAUAAUUUCUGCUUUCCUGGCUGGCCAGGUCUUAUCAGCUGUAAAUAACAUUAUAUUGAUUUUUUUUUGUAAGAGAAAAUUUGGUUUGCCAUUUUACCAGUAUUCCGCCUGUUCAGAUAUAUAUACAUUUUUAUGGCUAAAAUAAAAUGUCUUGAAAAAUG